rnacentral:rRNA from 1 species
AGUGGGGAAUAUUGCACAAUGGGCGCAAGCCUGAUGCAGCCAUGCCGCGUGUGUGAAGAAGGCCUUCGGGUUGUAAAGCACUUUCAGCGGGGAGGAAGGGCUACUAGUUAAUACCUAGUGGCAUUGACGUUACUCGCAGAAGAAGCACCGGCUAACUCCGUGCCAGCAGCCGCGGUAAUACGGAGGGUGCAAGCGUUAAUCGGAAUUACUGGGCGUAAAGCGCACGCAGGCGGUUUGUUAAGUCAGAUGUGAAAUCCCCGAGCUCAACUUGGGAACUGCAUUUGAAACUGGCAAGCUAGAGUCUUGUAGAGGGGGGUAGAAUUCCAGGUGUAGCGGUGAAAUGCGUAGAGAUCUGGAGGAAUACCGGUGGCGAAGGCGGCCCCCUGGACAAAGACUGACGCUCAGGUGCGAAAGCGUGGGGAGCAAA